UGCUCAGCGAUAUAAAAUGUUCUUCGUGCAGCGUCUUGAUAAACAAAUUUAUUUUCGUAGAAAAGUCAUGAUUUCAAUGCAGUCGAAUAGUUCUUGAGAAAGAGAAUUGGCGGAAACACACAGGUUUAAUAUGCGAAUCACUUUUAUGAUCAAUAUGACGAUCAGUAUUCUUAUAUAUUAUAUCUAUUUCUGUGAUUUCGUUAUUUGUGUGAUGAAUAUAAGAUAAAAUCUUUUAUCUUUUCAGACAUUUCUUCUAUUCGACUAGAAACUUUCAGAGACAAAAAAUCUGUCAAGGUUAAAUAUUAUGUUAGUAACACUGUGCAUAUAUUUUACGACAUAAUAAAGCAUUCAACAGCUCUUGCGCUUCCUAGUACCGACGCAAUAUGAAUUUUAAAUUGUUCUAAAAAUCUACCAACAAAAAUACGAUUAUCUAGUAGUUUUAGUUUCAUCACAACGCACGAUACUUGACGCAUAAUAAAAUAUUAUGUGUAAUUCGUGCAAUGUACUAUUUUCUUGUUUUGCACAUAUCUCAUAUCCAUCGCUUGCCAAGAAUUUAUUUAAAAUAAGUAGAACUUGUUAUUUAUUUUUACAAAGUAGCACGAGAGCGGAACGCUCGGUUUAGCAUAAAAAUAUCGUCGUUAUGAAAUUCAGUAAUUUAUUGUUGAACUUCGUUGUAGUUGUUGCCACCUAGUUGUGACUAUAUAUAUAAUUGCAAGGGCAACAUCAGUGGCUACAUCCAAUGUCUGUCUUGCAGCCCCAUUUGUAAGUUACUUAUUAAAUUUGUGUAAUCACAUUAUAAAAAUUAGUGUACAUAUGGAGAAUUAAUUUUCAGCGAUCAAGUCUUGCCGCACUCUUCUUUAUUAAUUUAACUCGUUUAGUCAUAUCGACACGUUGCUAAUAGUUGUAAAAUCGAGAUUACAUGAUAAAAAUUACCGUUUUCAAUGUCUCGACUCAUGUAUAAAUGUUUGUCUUAUGAAUCAUGUUACAUUUCACACGUUCUAGAUAAUGUAUCUCUAAUAUGUUCAUAUCGAAAUCCGUACCCUUACAUUGUACAUUGACAGCAUGUAUACACAAAUAUAGACUUCUCUUUCUGUCUAAUGCUUAUCAGAACUAAAAUUAAUUAAAACUUUGCUUACACUCGUAUUUUUCAGGACUACUGAAAUCUAAGAAUCGAUGAAUCAUCGUAAGAAGAAAACUUCGUAAAUACAUUGCACUCUAUCAUUAAUUAUAUCAGCAAAUAACAUGACAGAAAUUACCGUUUUUAAUCCCUCAAAAGCACGUAUAAAAAUUUACCCUAUCAAUCACGAUUUUUCUUUUGCACUUCGCACGGUCGAGACAAUUUAUUACGAGAAUCGCGAGUGUUCGUACAAUAAAUUGAUAGUGUUUCUGACGUGAAAGCAACGCGAGCAAGACCAAAGUUAUCCGUCAGCCAUUCGUUAGUAUGAAUCUGGGAUGACUGAUGGAAAGAAGUAACGCAAAAGCCAAGGUAUCCCGUCAUGGAAUGUUACAUCAAGUUUACGACGAGUUGCAAAGGGUUGCGAGACGCGAGCAAAACCUCGUUUUAAUGUUCGCAAUUAGUGCAUACCUUCACGGCGACUCUUAUCCGUAGGGACGUUGUAAGACCCUUCGCCUUUAUGAUUCGGAUGUGAUUACGCCACGCUAAGUGGACUUUAAUAUGUAUAGGAUCGCGUGGAGAAGCUGCUCGCAAUUAGUGACGCUUCUUCGAUCCCCUGAAAUCAAAAUUGAUAUGGGGGGAGGCAGAUGUUCUCUUUAGAGAUCCUCGUAUAGUUACGCCGCGGUGCCCUAAUUUCUAUUCGUGCGUUUUUUAUCAAAGAAGACAUUUACCCGAUGCGCAGACAUAUUUCGCAUGUUCGCAAACGCAUUGCGGUGCAUUUUAACGCGUUUCUCAUUUUACUCGCUUCCAGAGAAUAUAUACGUAUUCCUACAUCGCCGUGCGUUAACAGUUUUAACAGUUCGUAUGCUUGACUCUUUAUCAUUAAAAUCUUCAUGCCUUUCCUCGACGAUGGAGGCAAUAUAUCGACUAUCUCGAGUCCGCCCUUUUUGACGAUUCCCACGAUCUUGCAACACAUUGCGACAAAAAUGAUGUUCUACGCGUCGCAAACCGCGCCUGCGGUAUUGUCACGCUAUCAUCGUCGAAGCAUAAAUUGCGACGUGUCCUUUUUAUGCAUUCAUAGAUAAAUGAUAAUUAUACCUCUGUAGUGAUACUUUGUGGUACUGGUUCUAGACUUUUGCGGCCCACGUAUGCCGGCCAUAAAUGAUUUUAGCGGCUGUCGUUGUUCUCGUUGCUGUUACUAUGCAUUUACGGCUUGACUCAUCUCUCGCACGACAAUGCUACAACGUUGAAAUCUUGAAACAUUCUAAUAUUGAAGAUAUUACUGGUUAUUUAACUAGUGUCGCUAGAAUUAGACAAAGAAGGAACGAAAUGACGAUAAAUUGCUUUCUUUUUCCAAUUUUCUACUACGCUAUUGAGUAGAAAGAGACAGAGCUUGGUCGUCAUCAGUCGCUAUCUCUUUCUUUCGGCUGGUCAUGUUUUUCUAUGCCUGAGCGAAGUCCAUACUAUUUGUCGAUGGUCUCAUCAUUAAUUGCUAUUCUCAUCUGUCUUCGAUAAUAAAUAGUUUUUUACAGAAAAAUAUCAGUCUGUCUAUCAAAAAAUAACAUAUAAAAUUUAUAUAUCAUUUUAUCAAAUUUAAUUAUUGCAAAUCUUAUCUAUAAUAUUGCAUCGGAUAAGCAUCAUAGAAAACUAUUUUUUUGAAGAUAAAUUAUAAAACAGUAAAUAAAAUGAGUGCUAGUAAAUUUUUAUAUUAUCUUACUAAUGAUGAUAAAUCAUAUUAUUCAAUGAAAUCACAUAUAAAUGAUUACGUGUACGCGUAUCUAUUUAUUUUUAUUAUUUUUAUAUCAUUAUAUUGUAUGUUAUUUAUAAUUUAAAGUCCAGUCCAGUUUAAUAAAGUCCAGUCAUUAACCACUUAAUCCACAAUCAAGAGUGAUUAAUACGUGCAUAAAGAAGAUAAUAAUUUUUUAUUCUCAAUCUUUUCUCAAGAAAUUUGUCGGAUAUUUCGUAAAGAUUAUCAAAAGAUAAAUUUCUUUCAAAAUUAUCGCAAAAAUGAACGUAUCCAGAGCUUCACAUGAUGUAAAUCUUAUCAGGUUAUUUAUUAUCGAUUCGUUUUCUUUCGAAAUGCUCAUACUUGGAAAGAAGUAGCCGAGCUUGUCGAAAAGAUAUCGAAACAUCGUUUUUUUUUUACAUUUUAAACAAAUUCGCAUAUAUUCUUCGCAGUUUAUGCAUUUAUUAACUACUUCCUUUAGUUUUUAUUUGUAUAUUCAUGUAAUAUUAUAAUAAUAACUAUUAUAGAUCUGGUUUCAGAAAAAUAGAUAACCGAUUUCAUCGAGCAACAACACAGGAAAUGAAUAAUAUCAGGUUUCCGGAAAAUACAGGAAUACAGAAAUAUAGAAAUGUUCAUGGAACGACGAAGCUGCACACAGUUGAUAUUAAUUUAAGCGGAGCGCAUUGUGCGCGAGGAGUUCGCAAGAGGAUCAUGGGAUUAGUUUAUUCACCCAUUCACAAUGGGUUUGGGAUAUUGGCCGCUUUAUCUACUUCAGUCCGCACUGUGGCCGUGUGGAUUAACGGAGCACGGAAAAAUGAGAUUCCUUUCUGCGCUGCCCGAUGAGAUUGCUCUUAAAAUGAAGCGACCUUCUCUAUUUCUUGCUUGCAACGCAACGUAAAACGGAAUCAAGGAAUCCGUUGAGCUGAACAAUUCCCAUCUAAUUUGCAAGCUAGUUUAUGCGGUCUCAUAGCGCUUCGACAAGGCCGACAACGUACAGUCGAGGAAGAGGAAGAAGAAGCAAAAGAAGGAGGUAUCACCGUUCCGCGUUCUAGUGCCUGAUCAAAAAGAGCCGGUUUAGCAGUGCGGUGGGGUAAAAUUUGAAGAAACACGGAGUGCAAAAUGCGUCGGGCAGUGAGAGAUGCGCAAGCAUCCGUGAGCAUCAUUGUUAUUCCACGGUUUAAACGUGGGAAGCGAAUACCUUCAUGCUCUAGCGGACACCCCUUUCACGACAUAAUCGCUCGCUGGUUUUACGGCACGUCGUAGGAGCGCAUAUCUUUCGAUGUAGUUCCGAAGCGACUGCUGCCUCUGAUCCACUUUUGGUGCUCAAAUCCGUAGAACUAAGGUUUUAAAAUAUCGUAAUAUUUUGUAUGUUAAUUCGAGUCAAAGAACAAUAACAAAUAAUUUUUCAUUUGCAGAAAUCCAAAUUUAUGAAUAUAUAAUAUUUAACACAAGAUUCGGUUGCGUUUUCUUUAAGAACGCUUUACGGUAUCACAGAAUAAAUUUUAGUAUUAAUUUUUCUUUUGCAGAAUUCUGUUCCGCAAAGGAAAAAGUAAUACUGCGAAAAGUGAUAAUAUAUCGGUCGCCAUUGCGAGUGCAUGUAAAUAAUUAAUACACUGAUAAUUUUGAUACGAUAA